GGUACCGUGGUUAAACGGUAAACGCUCUGGACUUUGAAUUCAGUAACCGGAGUUCGAAUCUCACCGGGACCU
rnacentral:tRNA from 1 species